rnacentral:rRNA from 1 species
GCUAAAUCCCCAGCCCUGAACGCACCCAAUCUCAUCUGAUUUUGGAAGCUAAGCAGGGUCGGGCCUGGUUAGUACUUGGAUGGAAGACGGCACUGCUUUUCUUGAGGAAGGCAGAGGAACCCCUAAGCCAGCA